UACGUAGGGGGCUAGCGUUGUCCGGAUUUAUUGGGCGUAAAGAGCGUGUAGGCGGCCCGGUAAGUCCGCUGUGAAAGUCGGGGGCUCAACCCUCGAAUGCCGGUGGAUACUGUCGGGCUAGAGUGCGGAAGAGGCGAGUGGAAUUCCUGGUGUAGCGGUGAAAUGCGCAGAUAUCAGGAGGAACACCAAUGGCGAAGGCAGCUCGCUGGAACGGUACUGACGCUGAGGCGCGAAAGCGUGGGGAGCGAACAGG
rnacentral:rRNA from 1 species